rnacentral:lncRNA from 1 species
GUUGAUGGAGUGCUUGUAUUUAGUUUUUGUUUUGACCUUGUGAAACUUGCUACCUAUGGAUGAAACUGUGUAAUAUUGAUGAAACUAUGUAUAUGUACGGAUGAAACUUGUUACUAUUGGUAACAUGUGUUGGAUAUAUAUGUGUUCAUGACUAUUGGUAAUAUGUGUUGAAUAUGCUAUAUUGGUCAUAUAAAUAUAUUUGUGUUUGAUUUUCUGUGAAAAGGAACUUAUAUAAGAAAAAUCAAAAUUAAAUGGGGCAAUAUAGUCACUUUGCCAUCUGCUGGCAGAUGGCAAAGAGCUUUGCCAUCAGCUGGCAGAUGGCAAAGAGGCCACGUGUCAUCUACAUGUAAAAUUUGGGCUGGCCUAUUUGGGCUCUUUGCCAUCNNNNNNNNNNUUUGCUUAAGAUCACGGAAGCUUGGGUUGAUGGAGUGCUUGUAUUUAGUUUUUGUUUUGACCUUGUGAAACUUGCUACCUAUGGAUGAAACUGUGUAAUAUUGAUGAAACUAUGUAUAUGUACGGAUGAAACUUGUUACUAUUGGUAACAUGUGUUGGAUAUAUAUGUGUUCAUGACUAUUGGUAAUAUGUGUUGAAUAUGCUAUAUUGGUCAUAUAAAUAUAUUUGUGUUUGAUUUUCUGUGAAAAGGAACUUAUAUAAGAAAAAUCAAAAUUAAAUGGGG